AGCUCUUAUGGACCUGGCCUCCUGUGCCUACUGAGCUGAUAACAGUUCUAAUUGUACACACUGGCUCAGUUCAGCAGGAACAGGAGUCUGGCCCCACAGCCAAAUCGA
rnacentral:miRNA from 1 species